GAUGAACGCUAGCGGCAGGCCUAAUACAUGCAAGUCGAGGGGCAGCGGGAGUAGCAAUACUUGCCGGCGACCGGCGCACGGGUGCGUAACACGUAUACAAUCUGCCCUAACAGGGGGAUAGCCCGGAGAAAUCCGGAUUAAUACCCCAUAACACAAGAAACGGCAUCGUUUUUUGUUGAAAGUUCCGACGGUUAAGGAUGAGUAUGCGUCUGAUUAGUUAGUUGGUGAGGUAACGGCUCACCAAGACCACGAUCAGUAGGGGAUCUGAGAGGAUUAACCCCCACACGGAUACUGAGACACGGAUCCGACUCCUACGGGAGGCAGCAGUAAGGAAUAUUGGACAAUGCCCGCAAGGGUGAUCCAGCCAUGCCGCGUGCAGGAAGACGGCCCUAUGGGUUGUAAACUGCUUUUAUACAAGAGAAAACCCCUUUACGUGUAAGGGGCUGAUAGUAUUGUAAGAAUAAGCAUCGGCCAACUCCGUGCCAGCCGCCGCCGUAA
rnacentral:rRNA from 1 species